GUCUCCAUGGUCUAGUUGGUGUUAUGACGGCGGUCUCAUAUUCCUGACAGCCUUCCCAAAGGUUGGAUAUCCGCAGGUCACGAGUUCGAUCCUCGUUGGAGGCA